UGUCAUAUCGGCGAGGGAAGGGGCAGCUUUUUCUCAUUACACUUUGUCAUAGGCUCCCAGGCCCCUGUCAGUGAAGGCAAGGAGAUUUCCUUCAACACCCACGAAUCCUGAGAAUGUUGGUAGGGCUAUAACAGCAAGGCUGCAGUAAGAUCGUUUGGAUACUAAAGUGACAAGAAUCACCGUGGGCAA